rnacentral:misc_RNA from 1 species
AACAAGGCGUACCUGCGGACCUGCGGAAGGAUCAUUAAUGAAUAAACUUGGUCGAGCUGUUGCUGAUCCCUCGGGAUAUGUGCACGCUUGCCACCAAUUUUAACCACCUGUGCACUUUCUGUAGACUGGAAAACGAUGCUCGAGGCAACUCGGAUUGGGAACUGCUGCGCGAAAGCCGGCUGCUCCUGUGUUUUCUCAGUCUAUGUUUUUAUAUACUCCGAAUGUAUGUAUAAGAAUGUA